rnacentral:rRNA from 1 species
UCAAAAACAUGUCUGUAUGUAGUUAAUAUAAAGUCUGACCUGCCCACUGAGUUUUAAAGGGCCGCGGUAAUUUGACCGUGCAAAGGUAGCAUAAUAAUUAGUUUUUUAAUUGAAAACUUGAAUGAAUGGUCGGAUGAGAAAUAAGCUGUCUUGUUUAUAAUUGUAAAAUUUAACUUUUGAGUGAAAAGGCUUAAAUUAUUUAAGGGGACGAUAAGACCCUAUAAAACUUUAUAUAUAAUAAGUGUAUUUAUGUAUUAUGUUAAUGGGAGUAUAUUAUUUUAUAUUUUGUUGGGGCGACAUAGAUAUAUAGGCAAAUUAACUGUUUAUUAAAAUAAAAUAAUAAUAAUUAGUUUAUGAUCCUCUAGUGGGGAUUAAAAGAGUAAGUUACUUUAGGGAUAACAGCGUGAUUUUUUCUGAGAGUUCUUAUCGACGAAAGUAGUUGCGACCUCGAUGUUGAAUUAAAGUUUCAGUUAGGUGUAGCCGCUUAGCUAGUGGGUCUGUUCGACCUUUAAAAUUUUACAUGAUUUGAGUUCAAACCGGUGUAAGCCAGGUUGG